rnacentral:rRNA from 1 species
UACAGAGGUCCCGAGCGUUGUUCGGAUUCACUGGGCGUAAAGGGCGCGCAGGUGGGUUGGCAAGUUUGAUGUGAAAGCCCCGGGCUUAACCCGGGAAUGGCAUUGAAUACUGUCGAUCUGGAGGAUUGGAGGGGGGACUGGAAUUCUUGGUGUAGCAGUGAAAUGCGUAGAUAUCAAGAGGAACACCAGUGGCGAAGGCGAGUCCCUGGACAAUACCUGACACUGAGGCGCGAAAGCUAGGGGAGCAAACAGGAUUAGAAACCCCAGUAGUCC